rnacentral:rRNA from 1 species
GACGAACGCUGGCGGCGUGCUUAACACAUGCAAGUCGAACGGAAAGGCCCCCACUUUUUUGGUGGGGGUGCUCGAGUGGCGAACGGGUGAGUAACACGUGGGUGAUCUGCCCUGUACUUCGGGAUAAGCUUGGGAAACUGGGUCUAAUACCGGAUAGGACCAUGGUUUAGUGUCUCAUGGUGGAAAAAUUAUUGUUUUGGUGCAGGAUGAGCUCGCGGCCUAUCAGCUUGUUGGUGGGGUAAUGGCCUACCAAGGCGUCGACGGGUAGCCGGCCUGAGAGGGUGGACGGCCACAUUGGGACUGAGAUACGGCCCAGACUCCUACGGGCGGCAGCAGUGGGGAAUAUUGCACAAUGGGCGCUAGCCUGAUGCAGCGACGCCGCGUGGGGGAUGACGGCCUUCGGGUUGUAAACUCCUUUCGUUAGGGACGAAGCCGCACCUUUUUUGGGUGUGGUGACGGUACCUUUGUUAAGAAGCACCGGCUAACUACGU